GAUGAACGCUAGCGGCAGGCCUAACACAUGCAAGUCGAGGGGUAGAGUUAGCUUGCUAACUUGAGACCGGCGCACGGGUGCGUAACGCGUAUGCAAUCUACCUUAUACAGGGGAAUAGCCCAGAGAAAUUUGGAUUAAUGCCCCAUGGUAUUAUUAAGUGGCAUCAUUUGAUAAUUAAAGUUCCAACGGUAUAAGAUGAGCAUGCGUCCCAUUAGUUAGUUGGUAAGGUAACGGCUUACCAAGACGAUGAUGGGUAGGGGUCCUGAGAGGGAGAUCCCCCACACUGGUACUGAGACACGGACCAGACUCCUACGGGAGGCAGCAGUGAGGAAUAUUGGUCAAUGGAGGCAACUCUGAACCAGCCAUGCCGCGUGCAGGAAGAAGCAUCUAUGGUGUGUAAACUGCUUUUAUACAGGAAGAAACAACGCUACGUGUAGCGUCUUGACGGUACGU
rnacentral:rRNA from 1 species